CGGGUAGCCGGCCUGAGAGGGUGACCGGCCACACUGGGACUGAGACACGGCCCAGACUCCUACGGGAGGCAGCAGUGGGGAAUAUUGCACAAUGGGCGAAAGCCUGAUGCAGCGACGCCGCGUGAGGGAUGACGGCCUUCGGGUUGUAAACCUCUUUCAGCAGGGAAGAAGCGAAAGUGACGGUACCUGCAGAAGAAGCGCCGGCUAACUACGUGCCAGCAGCCGCGGUAAUACGUAGGGCGCAAGCGUUAUCCGGAAUUAUUGGGCGUAAAGAGCUCGUAGGCGGUUUGUCGCGUCUGCUGUGAAAGCCCGGGGCUCAACCCCGGGUCUGCAGUGGGUACGGGCAGACUAGAGUGCAGUAGGGGAGACUGGAAUUCCUGGUGUAGCGGUGAAAUGCGCAGAUAUCAGGAGGAACACCGAUGGCGAAGGCAGGUCUCUGGGCUGUAACUGACGCUGAGGAGCGAAAGCAUGGGGAGCGAACAGGAUUAGAUACCCUGGUAGUCCAUGCCGUAAACGUUGGGCG
rnacentral:rRNA from 1 species